rnacentral:rRNA from 1 species
UACGUAGGGAGCAAGCGUUGUCCGGAAUCAUUGGGCGUAAAGCGCGCGUAGGUGGCUUCGUAAGUCCGUUGUGAAAGUCAAAGGCUCAACCUUUGAAAGCCGAUGGAUACUGUGGAGCUAGAGUACGGAAGAGGCGAGUGGAAUUCCUGGUGUAGCGGUGGAAUGCGCAGAUAUCAGGAGGAACACCAAUAGCGAAGGCAGCUCGCUGGGACGUUAACUGACACUGAGGCGCGAAAGCGUGGGGAGC